rnacentral:rRNA from 1 species
UACGGAGGGUGCAAGCGUUUGUCCGGAUUUAUUGGGUUUAAAGGGUGCGCAGUGGGUGAUUUAAGUUACUGGUUUGAAAGCAUGGAUGGCGUCGAACCAAUCUGAUGUGGCUGGAAACUGGAUAUCUUGAAUGGGUUGGCGGUAGCCGGAAUGGGGUCAUGUAGCGGUGAAAUGCAUAGAUAUGACCCGGAACACCGAUUGCGAAGGCAGGCUACUACGACUUGAUUGACACUGAGGCACGAGAGCAUGGGGUAGCGAACAGG